rnacentral:rRNA from 1 species
AUGAACGUCACCGACACCUCGGACGCCAUCUCUUGGCGUCUAGAAUCAUCCGGCUGCUUCUCCACCAAAUGCCUCUACGCGACCAUCACCCCCUCGACGGCCCUCGAGCCCUUCAGUCUGAUUUGGGACAUCCGCUUGCCCCUGAAAAUCAGGAUCUUCCUAUGGCAAUGGAUCUGCGGCCGCCUCCCAUCCGACAUGGAGGUCCUCAAGCGUAAUGGACCUGGAGAUGGGAUUUGUCCCCUGUGCGGCACGGUGGAGGACGCUAAUCACAUCUUCUUCUCGUGCUCCACGGCCCAGUUUCUUUGGUCCAGUUUCCGCGAGACGGUUGGGGGCCAGUGGUGCAACUCCAACUUCCCUGACCUGCUUGCGGAGAUCCAUGCCUCCCCCUCGCUACCUCCAUAUUAG